rnacentral:rRNA from 1 species
GUAGGGAAUAUUGGGCAAUGGAUGCAAGUCUGACCCAGCCAUCCCGCGUGCCGGAAGAAGGCCCUCAGGGUUGUAAACGGCUUUUGACGGUGAAGAACCGACAGGAUGCGUCCUGUUUUGACGGUAGCCGUUGAAUAAGCACCGGCUAACUCCGUGCCAGCAGCCGCGGUAAUACGGAGGGUGCGAGCGUUGUCCGGAUUUAUUGGGGUUAAAGGUUGCGUAGGCUGGAAGGUCAGUCAGCGGUGAAAAGCUAUCGCUUAACGAUAGUCUUGCCGCAGAUACUUCCUUUCUUGGAUGAGGAGGAGGCCACUGGAACGGAUGGUGUAGCGGUGAAAUGCAUAGAUAUCAUCCAGAACACCGAUUGCGAAGGCAGGUGGCUGUACCUUAAUCGACGCUGAUGCACGAAAGCAUGGGGAGCAAACAGGAUUAGAAACCCCAGUAGUCC